rnacentral:rRNA from 1 species
AGUUUGAUCAUGGCUCAGGAUGAACGCUGGCGGCGUGCCUAAUACAUGCAAGUCGUGCGGAAAGGCCACUUCGGUGGUACUCGAGCGGCGGACGGCAGAGUAACGCGUAGGAACAUACCCCAAACUGAGGCAUAACUGCUCGAAAGAGCAGCUAAUACCGCAUGUGAUCUUCGGAUUAAAGCUUCGGCGGUUUGGGAAUGGCCUGCGUCCGAUUAGCUAGUUGGUGAGGUAAAUGCUCACCAAGGCUUCGAUCGGUAGCUGGUCUGAGAGGAUGAUCAGCCUGACUGGAACUGAGAACGGUCCAGACUCCUACGGGAGGCAGCAGUAGGGAAUUUUCCACAAUGGGCGAAAGCCUGAUGGAGCAACGCCGCGUGCAGGAUGAAUGCCUUCGGGUUGUAAACUGCUUUUAUUAGUGAAGAAUAUGACGGUAACUAAUGAAUAAGGGUCGGCUAACUACGUG